rnacentral:rRNA from 1 species
CCCCGAAAAAAUCGGAGGUGUCACCUGCCCAAUGAUCUAUUACUAAAUCAAUCUAAUAAAUUGUUAAAUAGAUUUAAAGGACGCGGUAUCUUGACCGUGAUAAUGUAGCAUAAUCAUUCGCCAUUUAAUUGAUGGAUAGUAUGAAUGGUAUAACGAAUACAACACUGUCUCAAAUGGAAGAUUUAUGAAAUUAGAAUAAUAGUAAAGAUACUAUUUAAUACUGUAAGACGAGAAGACCCUAUAGAGCUUAACUAUAGUUUUCUAAAAUGUAAGAACUUGUUCUUAAUUUAGAAAAUUAGGUAGUUUAGUUGGGGCGACUUCUUUCUAAAUAUAACGAAAGUAAACAAAGUUAAUUAAAUAACUUACUGUAUAAAUAAUACUUUUAACAGUUAUAAAAAUAGGUAAUAAUGACCCGUUACAAUAACAAAACAAAGUAACGAUCAAUAAAUAAAAGCUACCUUAGGGAUAACAGGGUAAUCUUGUUUUAGAGAUCUUAUCGAAUACAAGGUUUGCCACCUCUAUGUUGAAUUAAGACAUCCUAAAAGUGCAGCAGCUUUUAAGGGUAGGUCUGUUCGACCUAUAAAGU